rnacentral:rRNA from 1 species
GACGAACGCUGGCGGCGUGCCUAACACAUGCAAGUCGAGGGGUGAUUUCGGUCAUCACUGGCGCACGGGUGUGUAACGCGUAGAUCAUCUGCCCCUAUCACUGACAUAACAGUUCUAACGGACUGCUAAUAUCAGAUGAGGUGAGCAAUCAUCAAAGUUUCGACGGAUAGGGAUGAGUCUGCGUCUGAUUAGGUAGUUGGUGAGGUAACGGCUCACCAAGCCGACGAUCAGUAACUGGUCUGAGAGGACGAACAGUCACACUGGAACUGAGACACGGUCCAGACUCCUACGGGAGGCAGCAGUGAGGAAUAUUGGACAAUGGGGGCAACCCUGAUCCAGCGACGCCGCGUGUGUGAAGAAGGCCUGCGGGUUGUAAAGCACUUUUAGUGGGGAGGAAAUGCUCAGACCUAACACGUCUGGGAGCCGCGGUAAU